UUCCUUGUUCACCAUCCCUCUUCUCCAAUACUAAUUCAUUUCUUUGUCUACCUUACUCUCCAAGGGGGCCAUAUUUGGCUACCCCAGGCCACUUCUCUGAAUUCUAGAUUGGGAAUCUAGUUUUGAGAACUGUCCUCCUAAUAAAUAAAUACCUAUUUCAUUGAGUUUGUGUUCCUGCUACAACAGUUUCUUCUGUCAUGGGAAGUAAAUGAUACUUACACUUUCUAUUCACAUUUUUAGAUGGCAGGAUGGUGGCUGGCAAAGUGUUGAUGGCAAAGCAAGAAAUUGUUGAAUGUGUAGCCUCAGCAGCUAUGAUAUCGCUGGGAAAACUUCCUGGAGAAACACAUUCCCAACAGAUAGCUGAAGAAGCUUUGGGAGGUCUGGACAACUCUAAGAAGCAAAAGGGAAAUGCUGCAGGGAACAAAAUCAGUCAGCUUCCUUCCCAGGACAGACAUUUCAGUCUGGCAACCUUCAACAGAAGAAUCCCCACAGAACACAGUGUCCUUGAAUCUCAUGAGAGUGAAGGAAGUUUCAGUAUGAAUUCAAAUGAUAUUACACAACAGAGCGUUCACACUAGGGAAAAGCUCUAUGAGUGCUUUGACUGUGGGAAGGCCUUUUGCCAGAGCUCAAAGCUGAUUAGACAUCAGAGAAUUCAUACUGGAGAGAGACCUUAUGCAUGUAAAGAAUGUGGCAAAGCCUUCAGUUUGAGCUCAGACCUUGUUAGACAUCAGAGAAUUCAUAGUGGUGAAAAACCCUAUGAAUGUUGUGAAUGUGGAAAAGCCUUCAGGGGCAGUUCAGAGCUCAUCAGGCAUCGGAGAAUCCACACUGGAGAGAAGCCUUAUGAAUGUGGAGAAUGUGGGAAAGCCUUCAGCCGGAGCUCAGCCCUUAUUCAGCAUAAGAAAAUUCACACUGGAGAUAAAGGCUAUGAAUGUAUUGCAUGUGGUAAGGCUUUUGGUAGGAGUUCUAUCCUUAUUGAACAUCAAAGAAUUCACACUGGAGAGAAACCUUAUGAAUGUAAUGAAUGUGGAAAAUCCUUCAAUCAGAGCUCAGCCCUCACCCAGCACCAGAGAAUUCACACUGGAGAGAAGCCUUAUGAAUGUAGUGAAUGUAGAAAAACAUUUAGGCAUAGGUCAGGCCUUAUGCAGCAUCAGAGAACACACACCAGAGUUUAACUCUGUGGGUAAGAGUUGUACAAUUGUGAAAUGCAAGGAGUUCACUGUAGGGGUGAGACUCCACAGAAAAGAAAAGUUUCCUGAGAGCAGAACUUCUGUCCUUCCCGCCCAGUUCGGUACUAUAAGAAGACAUCCACACAAAGAUGUUUGUUAUGAUUAUUGAAGUGUUAAAUGGAAGAAAAAUGUUACCCAAGUCUUCUCCAAAAAGAAUGGUAGAUAUUUCCUUGAAAUGCCUAACCCAUUUCUGGAUGAGACUCAUCAAUAUCCCCUUCACUCCACUCUCUGCCAACUCAGAUAUAAUUUCCAUUGGGCACCUUCACAGUAAUGCCAGGAUUGGGGCAGAGAUCCUGAAAGAGCUUCUUAUAAGAUGGCAAAUGUGCCUGGCAAGAGCAUUUGUAUUUUGUCAGGUGGAGGCAUGUGCUGAGAGUUAUUCAACUAUCUGAAAUGUUGAAUUGGGAGGUUGUGAAAAUAUUGAAUUAUGCUAUUAGUUUAAUAAUAUCUGAGGCAGUAAAAUAGUACCUGAGGAAUGGUGCCUCAUUCUGCCCCCUUGCCAGUUGUCUCCUCAAUCCUGAGCUUCCUGCUGAGGUUAAUUCAAGUCUACUUGUUUAUUGAGCACCUGCUAUGUGCUAGGCAUUGAGGUAGACCUGGUCAUUGCCCUCCCAGAGUUAAGGGCUAAUAGGAUAUGCAUAUAUACUAAACAGUAAUUACAGUAAAGUGUGGUAAGUGCUUUGGUAGGAAAAAUGCGGGUUUCCAUCAAAGUACAUGGCAGGGAUAUCUAAAUCUGGUCUAUGAGUCACUAAAGACUUCCUGGAUAUGAUGGUAUCUCAGACGUAAAGGUGGGUAGAAGGUAGCAAGG
rnacentral:sRNA from 1 species